GGCCAAUCUACACUCCAUGGCCAUUCAAAGUUGUACAAAUCAUAAUGCUGCACCCCAUGGUUUAGGUUCUAGGGGGCGCCAAAAAUAACCCAAAAAUCCACAUUCUUAAAAGUUUUAUAAAUUUUUUUUUUUGUCCUCACUGGCCUCCAAGUUUUCUAGGAUGAUGCAAUGUCCAGCCAUCAACACAUUUGUGAAGGAAUUUUUACUCCCCAAAAGAGCGCCCCCCCAUGGCAGGAAUAAAAAGUCCAUUUUUUCUUGUCCCCUAAGGUGAAAAUACACAUUGUUGAGUGUCACGCCUGUACGCUUUGUCGUAUUGACAAAAAAUUUGACACACACGUGUAUCUCAAUAAGAUCUACGAAAAAGUCAAUGGGCGCGUAUCUGUAAAAUGUACGGCUAAAGGGCUAUUUUGCAUUUUUUGCCGAUUCGCACACAUUGGAAUGUGGCUAACUCCUCCUAAGGCUUUCGUCCCACUGACACCAAAUUUGCUCAGGCCAAUCUACACCCCAUGGCCAUUCAAAGUUGUAAAAAUCAUGCCGCUGCACCCCAUGGUUUACGUUCUAGGGGGCGCCAAAGAUGACCCAAAUAUCCACAUUCUUAAAAGUCGUUUUGGCCACUGCAGGAGUACAGAGUACUGCAGGAUACACACACACAGACACACACACACACAGACACACACACACACACACACACACACACACACUCAGAGUCUGUUUUUUAGCACCUGCAAAAACAUGCUAUUUACAUAUUUGACAACAAUGCAGAGGCUUCCUUUUGCCCCUGAAAAAAAUCAAAUUUCUAACACAACUUGACUGCUCAUUUCUCCAAAAGACAACCAUGAAGCUCCAUCCAAACCUGAAGCAGGCAGUUGGUGCAUGUGUACAGUAACCUGAGGGGAGUGAGGUGACUGCUUCUGAGGAGAACAUGAGCAGUGAAGAUUCACCUUGGAGCGAGAACAGGGACGUGCACAUGAUUAUACGGGGGCAGGGGCUCAAGUUUUUUCCAGUCGUUUAUACAAUAUGGAAAUUAAUGUGAAAUUAAAAAACAAAGUAUUAAUAGAAAGGUAAUGACUGUCCUGUGUAGGUGACAGUGAUAUCCAAUAGGCUAGGCACUCACAAGGCUGGCUGUGGCAAGUGUAAGUGAAAGCAACACGCACUGGCAGGAAGAACAGCAAACGCCGAUGAAGGAAAAGGGUCUUUGCAGUGAUGGGCGUUACCAGAGAGGACGAUGGCCAGAGGACGCGAAUGG
rnacentral:lncRNA from 1 species